AUGAGGGCUCUCCCCAUGGCCGUCAGCCGCGGCGCCGUCGCCUGCGCCACCCCGGCCGCCGCCGCCGCAGCCGUCCCCCGGAGAUCCAUGCUCCUCUCCACCGCUGCCGCAGGCGCAGCGCUGCAGUCCGACCCCAUCAGGCUGAUGAGCACGCCCAAGCUCAAGCUCCGCGCCUCCGCCGGCGCCGCGCAGGCCGCGGCCACCUCAUUCUCCAGCAAUGACGAGGCCUUCACCUGGGCCAAGAAGGACAACAGGAGGCUCCUCCACGUCGUCUACCGCGUCGGCGACAUCGACAGGACCAUCAAGUUCUAUACAGAGUGCCUGGGCAUGAAGCUGCUGAGGAAGCGUGACAUACCCGAAGAGAAGUACACCAAUGCCUUCCUCGGAUACGGCCCCGAGGAAACCAACUUUGCCAUCGAGCUCACCUACAACUACGGGGUUGAUUCGUACGAUAUCGGAGCGGGGUUCGGUCAUUUCGGCAUUGCAACCGAUGAUGUGGCGAAAACAGUUGAACUCAUAAGGGCGAAGGGAGGCAAGGUGACUAGGGAGCCUGGCCCUGUCAAGGGUGGCAAGACCGUGAUCGCGUUCAUCGAAGACCCCGACGGCUACAAGUUCGAGAUCCUAGAGAGGCCAGGGACUCCAGAGCCACUAUGCCAAGUGAUGCUUCGUGUCGGUGAUCUCGACCGAGCCAUAAGCUUCUACGAGAAGGCUUGUGGUAUGAAACUGCUCCGGAAGCGAGACAACCCUGAAUACAAGUACACGGUGGCGAUGAUGGGGUACGGGCCUGAAGACCAGAAUGCGGUUCUGGAGUUGACCUACAACUACGGUGUCACUGAAUAUGACAAGGGGAGUGCCUAUGCUCAGAUCGCGAUAGGCACCGACGAUGUCUACAAGACCGCCGAGGUGGUGAAGCUGUCCGGAGGGAAAGUGGUGCGGGAGGCAGGUCCCUUGCCAGGGAUCGGCACCAAGAUCACGGCCAUCCUGGACCCCGAUGGGUGGAAAUCGGUGUUUGUUGACAACAUUGACUUUGCCAAAGAACUGGAGUAA
rnacentral:rRNA from 1 species